UCCUUAGUUCAAUGGAGUUGCUGUUAUUUUUAAUAAAGAUAGCUUUGGUUAAUAACCUUUUGCUUUUGUCUACAACCUACUAUACCCUUACUUAGAGUAGUUUUUACCCAAUUUGAAGUUAAUGCCCCUAGUAUUUAGUCAAAUAUAUGUUGAACUGAAGCAUAUAGCAAAAGGAACGAUAUUAUAUUUAUAAGUAAUCAUGUUUGGUUUUUUGGUAUCCUGACUCUUUCUGUAUUGAAGAGAAAUAGAGGAAUCAGAGAUCAAAGGACUGGAGAGGCAGCUGAUGCAGUCAAUUGAAACUUGUAUUACAAAGAAAAAGAGAAUUAUUCUUUGUCAGAGAGAAAUGGAGAGGAUCCAAGAUUCGGAAGAGGUUAAUUGGUCAACUUAAGUUUUUUGCUUUUGUAUGCUUUCAUUAUGUGUACACACACCCCAAAAAGCAUGGAAAGAAACACAGAUUAUUGUUUGUAGGUGGCCUGUACUUUUCUUCUUUUUCAUACCAGUGCAAAGUCAUUGAUGAUAGAUCAGUUCUAAAUGGGCUAUUGGGGUACAUUAUUAAGACCCUUUAUUAUGCCUUUAUAUUUCCCUUAUCCUAUCCUCAUUUGAAGUUAUGCGGUUCCUGAAAAUAUCCAGAGUUGGGUAUAGUACUACUGUAUAUUCAUUCAAGUGGUUCAACCUAUUUGACCUUGGGAAUAGCCAUUAAUAACAUUGCAAUCACACUCCGAAAUAGUGGUCAAUUAGCUACAGUUGUGGGUGUUGUAAGAGUUUGUAAGUAUUUCAUGCAUGAAGCACUUUCUUGAGUAUCCCUCUGAUGCCCUUUUCUAGAUCAAUAGCAAAAUUUUGUAAAGAUGUUGAUGAAAAAUCCUUUAACUUUGCUUUAGAAACCAUAACUUAAUUUCUUGCUGGAGUUGUAUUGCGACUUCCUGUAUUUAAAGAAAGGUUUAGCUAAUGUUUGCGCGAGUCAAUAGCUCAAUUUUCGCGUCAGCUGCUAUUGUCAAGAGAUAAUAAAAGAAUGAAAAGGCAAGGUGUCCUUUUCUGGUUCUGAACAUUUGCAGUUUCUUUAUAUAUUUUAUUUUUAAGUGUGUUCUUUAAUAUGGUUCUGCUGCAGAAAACAAAAUCCAGUUCCUUCUUUAAGCGCAUUGUGGGAACAGUUGUACGAUCUGUUCAGGAUGACCAAAAGGAACAAGGUUAGUGCAUGGUAGAACGUCUCUCGUGGAAAAUUUAUUGAUUCAAGUGCAUAUAAGCCUGUGUACAAGAUUUUUUUUUCGAGAGGAUCCAAGAUUCGGAAGAGGUUAAUUGGUCAACUUAAGUUUUUUGCUUUUGUAUGCUUUCAUUAUGUGUACACACACCCCAAAAAGCAUGGAAAGAAACACAGAUUAUUGUUUGUAGGUGGCCUGUACUUUUCUUCUUUUUCAUACCAGUGCAAAGUCAUUGAUGAUAGAUCAGUUCUAAAUGGGCUAUUGGGGUACAUUAUUAAGACCCUUUAUUAUGCCUUUAUAUUUCCCUUAUCCUAUCCUCAUUUGAAGUUAUGCGGUUCCUGAAAAUAUCCAGAGUUGGGUAUAGUACUACUGUAUAUUCAUUCAAGUGGUUCAACCUAUUUGACCUUGGGAAUAGCCAUUAAUAACAUUGCAAUCACACUCCGAAAUAGUGGUCAAUUAGCUACAGUUGUGGGUGUUGUAAGAGUUUGUAAGUAUUUCAUGCAUGAAGCACUUUCUUGAGUAUCCC
rnacentral:lncRNA from 1 species